CCUGCCGCCCCUGAAGCCUCCUGAAGGGCAGCCCGGCCGCCCGCGUGGGGGGAGGAGGGCGGCGGCGAGCGGGCGAUCCGCGGCUCCGGUGGGACGGCGGCCCCCAGCCCGGCCGGCGGGCGCGCAGGUGCCAACGACGUCGCAGGAAACUCCCGCGGGCCAGGCUCUGGCUCCGGCUCCCGAUCGCCGAGACCUGUUGCCUGGCCGAGGGAAGCCAGAGGCAGGAAGCUCCCAGGGGAGGGGAAACCAGCAAACUGAUUCGGGCCAGACCGCCACGGAGUCGGGGUGUGUAGGGGUGGCCACCCCUUCUCUGCCUGGGCAAUAUGGCUGAGUUCCUGCAGAGCCUCUCCUACCACCCCCAGCCCAGGAGACGCCUGAGGAGCAGCAGCCAAGAAGGCUUGACAGGCUCGCCACCCCCACCCCACCGCCCGCUCAGGAUCCCACUGAAGAAUCUCUGGCUGCUCCUGGAGGCCCUGGUAUGCUGCCACCUGGCCGGCUGCCCAGCCAGAGAUGCGGGAGCAGGCCCCCCGUCCCCGCACCCACACUCUGGUGCUGGCUGCUCACAGCCCAAGUGCUCCGUGAACCUGGACUAGAAGUGGCAGCCUGUCCGCCUGACACAGAGGUCCAGUCUUAGCGGACUCCCUGCUCGGGUGCCCCGCUGGAGCUGGGCUGAGGAAAGGCCUUCUGCUGCCUCCACUCCCAUCGCCGCAGCCGGGGCUGGGGGGCUUCUCUCCUUGUGCCAAGGCUCCUAGGAGCCCCAAUCCUGGUGAUCCCUAUAUCCACCCAUCUCUCUCCACCCAUGACAGUCUCUGGGGGCAUGUCAGCCUGCUGUUUCCACCCACAGGUGGGGGGAAGCUGAGGAGUGAAGGGCCUCCUGACUAUGACUCUUAGAUUGGGCCCCUUCGAACCCAGGCUUGCCCCUCUAGGUGACCACCCUCUCAGCUCCAGCCUCUGCCCGGGCCACCCUGGAAGGGAGGGCCCUAAGAAGGGCCCUUCAGGCUGUGUGUGCACGUGUGCACUGGUUGAGUGAGUGAGUGAGUGGUGUGUGUGUGUGUGUGUGUGUGUGUGUUGGGGACAGAGUUGCCUGCAGGGUGUUCACCCCAGACAUGGGGCUCCCCAGGAGCUGCCCAGGGCCUCGCACACUGCCUUCCCACAGGAGAAAUGUGUGGCACAGCCCAGGAGUCCCUGCCCUCAGCUCGCAGAGACCCUGCCUUGCAGAGCCACCCCACCCCUGAGCAGGGGUCCCUGAUGCUACCCUGCUAUGGGCUGGGGGGUGGGGGGGUCUGGCUCAAGGGAUUUGGGUAGGGGCAGGGCAGGGAGCAGCCUUAGGGUCUCUGACCACGUUGGCCUUGGGCAGUUGAGGGCUUCCCUUGUCUCCUAUCCCCCACCACCUGCCUGAGUGCACUUUACUUAUCCCAGAGAGGUGGGGGGUAGGGGGUGGGGUUUGGGUGUCAGGACCCUCAGGUGUCAGAUGGCAGGGGGUUAACUGUACCAGUCGGCACAGCCUGGGCAGAGCAAUGUUCUCAUGUCUGUUGUUGUUGCAUCGUGUUGACUCUUUAAGUUAAAAACCAAAAACAAAUCUUCGAAUUCAAAUAAAAUACAACAAAAAUGAG